rnacentral:ribozyme from 1 species
CAAGGAUAUGGUUAAACCUCCGAUUUCUUUGCCGAGACGGACAAACCACGCAGACCAAGUUUCUGAUUUCAUUCCAAAGCUUAAAAUUUUUGAAAAAGACGAUAACGAAACUUUGUUCAAAAGC